GUAGGUGGCAAGCGUUGUCCGGGAAUUAUUGGGGCGUAAAGCGCGCGCAGGCGGUUCUUUAAGUCUGAUGUGAAAGCCCACGGGCUCAACCGUGGAGGGUCAUUGGAAACUGGAGAACUUGAGUACAGAAGAGGAAAGCGGAAUUCCGCGUGUAGCGGUGAAAUGCGUAGAGAUGUGGAGGAACACCAGUGGCGAAGGCGGCUUUCUGGUCUGUAACUGACGCUGAGGCGCGAAAGCGUGGGGAGCAAACAGGAUUAGAUACCCUGGUAGUCCACGCCGUAAACGAUGAGUGCUAAGUGUUAGGGGGUUUCCGCCCCUUAGUGCUGCAGCCAACGCAUUAAGCACUCCGCCUGGGGAGUACGGCCGCAAAGGCUG
rnacentral:rRNA from 1 species